UAGGACGAAAAUACCAAGAAAGACGUUAUCGGCUGUCAACAGUAAAGUCUUUCCUCUGCUUAAGACUGCUAGCCCGAAUGCUAACGCGGGAAACAAGUUAGCUUUCCACAGCUAGCUAUGCUGCGAGCGCUGCAUCAAAAGUUCUGUCAAAGUUCGCGACAGAGACUGAGCCUUCCCUCGGUGAUGUUUUAGCCGCCAUAAGGAACCUGGACAACAAGAUGAAUCCGUUCCACAAGAAAGAAAGCGUUCCAGGACGGAGCGUGUGUCUGGAAGCCCUGUCUGUCAGCAGAUGUCACUGCCUCCACCACGUGCAUAUGAGUCAACACCACACAGGAAACCAGCCGGUCG